rnacentral:piRNA from 13 species
GCCCGGCUAGCUCAGUCGGUAGAGCAU